UAGCUGUAGGUGUGAGUGUAGGUGUAAGUGUAGGUGUAGGUGUAAGUGUAAGUGUAGGUGUAGGUGUGAGUGUAAGUGUAGGUGUAAGUGUAGGUGUAGGUGUAAGUGUAAGUGUAGGUGUAAGUGUAGGUGUAAGUGUAGGUGUAGGUGUAAGUGUAGGUGUAAGUGUAGGUGUAGGUGUAAGUGUAGCUGUAGGUGUUAGUGUAAGUGUAGGUGUAGGUGUAAGUGUAGGUGUAAGUGUAAGUGUAGGUGUAAGUGUAGGUGUAAGUGUAGGUGUAGGUGUAAGUGUAGGUGUAAGUGUAGGUGUAGGUGUAAGUGUAGGUGUAAGUGUAGGUGUAAGUGUAGGUGUAAUUGUAAGUGUAGCUGUAGGUGUGAGUGUAGGUGUAAGUAUAAGUGUAGGUGUAGAUGUAAAUGUAGGAGUAGGUGUAGGUGUAAGUGUAGGUGUAGAUGUAAAUGUAGGAGUAGGUGUAGGUGUGAGUGUAGGUGUGAGUGUAGGUGUAGGUGUAAGUGUAGGUGUAAGUGUAGGUGUAGGUGUAGGUGUGAGUGUAGGUGUAAGUAUAAGUGUAGGUGUAGAUGUAAAUGUAGGAGUAGGUGUAAGUAUAAGUGUAGGUGUAAUUGUAAGUGUAGGUGUAGGUAUAAUUCAUAUAACCUUACAUUCAUAUAACCUGCUUCAAUUAUGUUAUUUGUCUUUAUUUUCCUGUUUUAAAUGUGACUUUAUUUUCUAUUAUUAUCCAUUUAAGCUAAUCAAGAAAAAUGCAUUAACUUUAGUUCAUUAAAAUGUCGCGAUAUCGCGGGACGUUAAUCGUUGUAAAUAUCGCCAUAUCGUGCACGCGGUCAGCAUCGUGCAUCGCUGCGGUCCAGCCUGUAGGUGGAGUGACGGAAACAUCUACACGCGCUCUCCUCCUGCUCCUCCUCCCCUUCACCCUCCCGGUCUCUCGCUCGCGCCUCUCCGCCACGCAAAAACUCUACCGUAGGGAGCGUCUGGAGUCUCGAGCUGCUGGGCACGUAGAGCGCGCGGCACCGGGAGACAGAAGAGAACAGAUCAGCGCGUGCCUUUUCUGUCCAUGCGACUUCAGAGAGGAAUUAUAAACCGCGCGCGCCCGCGUGUGUGUGAGUGUGUGUGUGUUAAAAUUAUUUUCAAUCAUUCUUUUUUUUUUUUUUAAUUAAAAAAAAAAACGAGGCAGAGUCUCCAGCGCGCGAGCCUCCGUGAGGAGGAAUGGAGGGAGGAGGGCGCGUGCCGGUGCAUUUCAUGAAAAGCUUGAA
ensembl:lncRNA